UACGAAGGGGGCUAGCGUUGCUCGGAAUCACUGGGCGUAAAGGGUGCGUAGGCGGGUCUUUAAGUCAGGGGUGAAAUCCUGGAGCUCAACGUCCAGAACUGCCUUUGAUACUGAGGAUCUUGAGUUCGGGAGAGGUGAGUGGAACUGCGAGUGUAGAGGUGAAAUUCGUAGAUAUUCGCAAGAACACCAGUGGCGAAGGCGGCUCACUGGCCCGAUACCGUGACGCUGAGGCACGAA
rnacentral:rRNA from 1 species